CCUGAGUAGCUGCGAUUCCAUGCAGCUGUCACCAUGCUCAGCUAACUUUUGUAUUUUCGGUAGAAACGGAGUUUCACCAUGUUGGCCAGGCUGGUCUCAAACUUCUGAUCUCAGGUGAUCCACUUGUCUUGGCCUCCCAAAGUGCUAGGAUUAUAGGCAUGAGCCACCGCACCCGGCGGACUUAAAAGUAGCAGACAAAAUAAUUUGUUUUAACUCUGUAGCUCACUCUACAAGCUCCUAGAUCUUGUCAAGCCAUAUCCUCCAUCUAAACAUACCUGGCUACAAUGCCCUUCUGUUUCAAAGAGAUGGUCAUUUAAGGUCCUGGAAUCCAAUUUAGGACUUUCAGGGAAAGGUAUUCAAGUACUCGGUAUGCUUCACUGGUUAGGUAGGUAGGCAGGCAGCAAGACAGGCAGGCAGCUCUCAUUUUGAAUAGAACCAAAUGUAUAAGACUUCAUUUCAGUUCAUGAAGUUAUUUCGUAAGAUUUUAAAUUGGCAUAAAAUAUUUGUGAUAGGUCAUGAAAACAUGACUGGUAAUUCACUAUCUGUAUCCCUUCCACAACAAUGCAAAGCCAAAAGCUGGGUAGAAAAGCAAGGGCCAAAAAACUGAAAAGUCCUUCGACUACAAACUAUUUAUUUUUAGUCAGAAAUGGUUUCUCCACUUCAGCAUUAAGGGAAUAUUUAGUUCUUAAAAGGGGGGUAGACUCAUGCUAUUUCAAAACACAAUGAUCUACGGAAAGGUAAACAAUAGCCUUGAAUCAAAGGGUUCAGUAAGAAAGCAACUGCUAGAUACCAUUAGACCUAGGACCUAAAAAUUUAAGUUUAUAAAAAUUGGUGGUAGCACUCUGGCCCCACCAGAGCUCUAAAAGAAAUGUCCUGAAUGUGUAUCAAGCCCAAAUAGGGAUUUGCUGGAGUAGGGGAGGUGAGGCAAGGAGAAAUGCUAUGAAAUCCUGAGUCAGGUAUUCUAGGAUAGAAGACCACAUGGGGGAGCUCUAAGCUUGAAAAAAAAUUAGAACUGACGUCUUUUGGAGGUACUGAUGGUAGCUAGUCCCUUAAACAUGUGGAAUCCUUCCUUGGGGAAUAGCCACUAGAUUAAAAGGCUUUCCAAUCAAGAACUACAUAAACAAAACCAGGUCCCUGGGGGGAGAUGGUAUCAGCACGAUUAAGGUCUAACUACAGGAGAGAGCUUACCAAGGGAGAGAGCUGGACCACAUGAUAAAGGAGCAACUAAAUAAAACUCUUAACUGGACAGGUUUGGCCAUCUAAUCCUUUAUGCAUACUUGGGACGUGUAACACUUCUUCAUAGGCCCAAUCUGGGAUGGAGGGGCCACAACAACAUGAGAAUGAGACAAUAUAUUGGAAUACUAACAGCUUUUUUUUUCUUUUGGUCAGCCAAUGGGGAUGCUGGGAAAAAGUCAUCAGGGGAAGUAUCUCUACACUGAGUUCUCUAAUGCCCUGGGAAGAGCAUUAUACUUUCAGCACUGUGGCAAUGUGUACUCUGGUUGAAUGGAAGGCUAUCAGAGGCCUUAUGCCACUAUAGAUCCCUCACGGUAACCAUUCACCAGAGGAAUCCUGGGAUGAACACCUUGUUAGCCGCUGCUGGCAAGGUAAGGCCAUCUGAGAAGUCAGACAAACUUCCUCAUUAGUGAAGCUUGUUGCCAAUUACAGAGGACCCUCAGGAUCUAAACUGCCACAGGCUUUUAUCUCUUUGUGGGAAUAUUGACAAAGGACUAUAAAAUUCACUUGGGAUUCAAAAAGCCCAUGUCAGUUAUACAGGCUUCCUAGGUGAACAGCCACAGGUCACAAGCCCCCAACCCUUUACCCUUCACAGCACACAGUGUACUAAGGUUCUUACUGCGCCAACUUUAUUAUAGCUAGAAACACAAAUAUGGCCAAGAAGGCGUGCUGAUAGCUUAACCAUUAAAUAAUUAUUAAAAAAAAAAAAAA